AGGUGUGGUCAUACCAGUACUAAUGCACCAGAUUCCAUCAAAACUUUGAAUUUAAGCAUGCUUGAAUGAGAAUAGUACUAAGAUGGGUGACCUCCUAGAAAGUCCUUUUAUUGCACCCC
rnacentral:rRNA from 1 species